rnacentral:rRNA from 1 species
UGCCAGCAGCCGCGGUAAUACGAAGGGGGCUAGCGUUGUUCGGAAUUACUGGGCGUAAAGAGCAUGUAGGCGGAUGAAUUAGUCAGAGGUGAAAGCCCCGAGCUCAACUUGGGAACUGCGUUUGAAACUGUAAGACUAGAGUGUGUCAGAGGGGGGUAGAAUUCCAAGUGUAGCAGUGAAAUGCGUAGAGAUUUGGAGGAAUACCAAUGGCGAAGGCAGCCCCCUGGGAUAACACUGACGCUCAUGCACGAAAGCGUGGGGAGCAAACAGGAUUAGAUA